rnacentral:rRNA from 1 species
UACAGAGGUCUCAAGCGUUGUUCGGAUUCAUUGGGCGUAAAGGGUGCGUAGGCGGCGCGGUAAGUCGGGUGUGAAAUCUCGGGGCUUAACUCCGAAACUGCAUUCGAUACUGCCGUGCUUGAGGACUGGAGAGGAGACUGGAAUUUACGGUGAGCUGGUGGAAAUGCGUAGAUAUCGAGAGGAACACCUGCGGCGAAGGCGGGUUGCUGGGCUGACACUGACGCUGAUGUGCGAAAGCUAGGGGAGCGAACGGG